rnacentral:rRNA from 1 species
AUACGGAGGGUGCAAGCGUUGUUCGGAAUCACUGGGCGUAAAGGGCGCGCAGGCGGUUUGGUAAGUCAGAUGUGAAAGCCCACGGCUCAACCGUGGAAGUGCAUUUGAAACUGCCAGACUUGAGUACCAGAGGGGAAAGUGGAAUUCCCGGUGUAGAGGUGAAAUUCGUAGAUAUCCGGAGGAAUACCGGUGGCGAAGGCGACUUUCUGGCUGGAUACUGACGCUGAGGCGCGAAAGCGUGGGGAGCAAACAGGAUUAGAAACCCCGGUAGUCC